CAAAGAGCCUGUGCAAACCUUCUCCAUCUCACCGCAGAGGGACAGAGGAGACAUCCAGGACUACAAGCUCUGGACUAGAGGUGGCAUGUGGACAGCAGUUGGAAAGAGAAAGUACAGAAAGAAGUUAAAAGUAUGCUAGAAAAAACAGUAAAUGAAGAAAUGACAGAGGUGCCAAAGCCAGGUGAAGUGAAGAGGUAUCAUGAGGCAGAAGUGUCUUCCUACUCUGAGCGGGAUCCCAGGACCAGCAGCAUCAGCAUUCCCUGAGCCUCAUCCCAGACCGACAGAAUCUGCAUCUGCAUGUAAAAAAGAUUCCCGGGUAAUUUGCAAGGAUAUUGAAGUUUGAGAUGCUGUGGUGGUGUGGUUUAAAGCUUGAGGUCUGGAAUUAGAAGGCCCAUUUCAAGUAUCUGUGCCUCUCAUUAGCUAUGUGGCCUUGUACAAGUUAUUAUUAUUUCCACCCCUAAUAGGUAGAGAUGAAUCUAUGCUAAACACUUAGAAAAUGCCUGGCAAAUAAUACUAUCAUUCUUUUUUAAAAAAUAAAUGCCCAUGCACAAACUGUUAAGAUAACUUCCUCAGAUACAUUCUUAGCCAGUCUCUUGAACUGAUCCACUGUGAUUAUAGCCCAUGCCCGCCCCCAACAAUUCCACCCAUAAAAGAAAAGAAAGACGCCACAACUCCUGGC
rnacentral:lncRNA from 10 species